AUACGGAGGGGGUUAGCGUUGUUCGGAAUUACUGGGCGUAAAGCGCACGUAGGCGGACUGGAAAGUUGGGGGUGAAAUCCCGGGGCUCAACCCCGGAACUGCCUCCAAAACUUCCAAUCUAGAGAUCGAGAGAGGUGAGUGGAAUUCCAAGUGUAGAGGUGAAAUUCGUAGAUAUUUGGAGGAACACCAGUGGCGAAGGCGGCUCACUGGCUCGAUACUGACGCUGAGGUGCGAAAGCGUGAGGAGCAAACAGGAUUAGAUACCCGAGUAGUCC
rnacentral:rRNA from 1 species